ACUCAAAUGAAUAGACGGGGACCCGCACAAGCGGUGGAGCGUGUUCUUUAAUUCGAUGAUAAACGAAGAACCUUACCAAGGCUUGACAUCCCAGGAAUUACUCCGAAAGGAGUGAGUGCUUUAUUGAACCUGGUGACAGAUCUUGCAUGGCCGUCGUCAGCUCGUGUCGUGAGAUGUUUGGUUAAGUCCAUCAACGAGCGCAACCCCUAUGAAUAGUUGAAUUUUUCUAUUCAGACUGCCCCGGCAACGGGGAGGAAGGGGGGGAUGAUGUCAGGUCAGUAUUAGUCUUACGUCUUGGGCUAGAAACGCGCUACAAUGGCCGGUACAAUGGGCAGCUAACCCGCGAGGGGGCGCAAAUCCUAUCAAAGCCGGUCCCAGUUCGGAUUGGAGGCUGAAACUCGCCUCCAUGAAGUCGGAAUCGCUAGUAAUCGCAGAUCAGCAUGUUGCGGUGAAUACGUUCCCGGGUCUUGUACACACCGCCCGU
rnacentral:rRNA from 1 species